AGGAACAUGGAUGGGAGAAGGGAAGGAGAGGGAAAAAAGUGGGGGCAGGAUCAAGUAUGAGAAGAGACAGGAGAGAAGUCCAGAGUGCCAGGAGAAUGAAUAGAAAUACAGUGGGAGUGGGAGGUUGGGGACCAGGGUGAGGGAACCACUAGGAAGUCCCAGACGCCAGGGAUGCAAGAGGCUCCCAGGACUCAGUGGGGAUGACAUUAGCUGAAAUACCCACCUGAAGGGAGAUAGAACCUGAAGAGACCACCUCCAGUAGAUAACAUGGCCCCCACUGGAGAGAUGGGGCCACCCACCCAUCUCAAAAAUUUUAACCCAGAAUUGUUCCUGUCUAAAGGAAAUGCAGGGACAAAAAUGGAGCAGAGACUGAAGGAAAGGCCAUCCAGAGACUGUCCCACCUUGGGAUCCAUUCCAUCUGCAGACACCAAACCCUGACACUAUUGCUAAUGCCAAGAAGUGCCUGCUGACAGGAGCCUGAUAUAGAGGCUCUGCCUGCACCUGACUAAUACAGAUGCAGAUAAUCACAGCCAAUCAUUACUGAGCCUGGGGACCCCAAUGGAGGAAUUAGGGGAAGGACUAAAGAUACAGAAAGGGAUUGCAACCUCAUAGGAAGAACAAUAUCAACUAACCACACCCUUCAGAGCUCCCAGGGACUAAACCACCAACCAAAGAGUAUACAUGGGUUGGUCCAUGGCUCCCACUACAUAUGUAGCAGAGGAUUGCCUCAUCUGACAUCAGUGGGAGGGGAGACACUUAGUUCUGUUGAAACCUGUUACAGCAGUGAAGGAAGAUGCUAGUGGCGUGAGGCUGGAGUGGGUGGGUGCGUAGCGGUGCAUCCUCUUAGAAGCAAAAGGGAGGGGAAAUGGGAUGGGGAGUUUCCAGUGGGGAGACAAGGAAGGGGACAACAUUUGAAAUGUAAAUAAAUAAAAUCAUCAAUAAUUUUAGCCGAGCAGUGGUGGUGCACCCCUUUAAUCCCAGCACUUGGGAAGCAGAGGCAGGCAGAUUUCUGAGUUCGAGCCCAGCCUGGUCUACAGAGUGAGUUCCAGGACAGCCAGGGCUACACAGAGAAACCCUGUCUCAAAAAAAAAAAAAAAUAUAUAUAUAUAUAUAUAAAAAAUGGGGAUAUUCCUUGAUUUGUUACUCACCUUUUUCUUUCCCUAGAGUAGCCAACACAGAUGGGGAGUGAAACAAGAGAAACCAGAGCAGAUGAAUUCUGUUAUUCUGUUAUUAUGUUUGGCCUUGAAUUAAUAAUUAGUGAUAAGGCACAUCUGGAAUAUUCCCAAAGCAUUCAUCCUUUAGAAGUUCCUACGUGCUCUGAUUUUAUGAAAGCCAAAUUGAGUAUCUUUAGCAACUUCCAAGGCCAUGCAGUUAAGUCUUCCUGAAAUGGAAAUGAGAAGAAAAAAAAUCUACAGGUAUCUCCACACAUGGCACCGCAGCAGUCCUCCAGAAAGGGCAGCCAGCAGGUCCUUUGCUCUGUGGCUCCUUUCUUCUCUAAGGCUAUUGAGGACUAAAUCCUGUGCAGUUGCAUAUCAGCUGAAGGGAAAUCCAUGGUUGUUUAUACCUACGUUCUGGUGUUUAAGGAGGGG
rnacentral:lncRNA from 1 species